rnacentral:hammerhead_ribozyme from 1 species
AUCCAGCUGACGAAUCCCGAACAGGACGAAACGCGCGUCCUGGAU